UUUAUUGGGGUAAGUAGCAGGGCAGUACCAUGAGAGGAGUAGAACAGGAAGAAGGCAGAAUUGAGACCUUUCAAAGUUUUGGCCCAAGCAGGUGGGCAUGAGGGCAUCAUUUGAGCUUCCCGCCUCAGAUGCCAAAAUGUUGUGGGCCGGCCCUGACAGGGGGUUGGACUAGAUGACCUCCUGAGGUCUC